rnacentral:sRNA from 1 species
ACAGAGCCACUAGAUUAGUCUGUGAGGGAAGGAGAUGCCUCUUCCUUCCCUUCUAUAGUGGGUUAAACCCAGCUGGCACCCUCUGGAACUACGGGAACAAUAUUCUUCAAGAGAAGCUCACUCUACCAAAGCCAGGAGCACAGUAUUCUCAGGAUCUCAACAAGGAAGAGCAGACCAAGCUAUCAACAGUCCUCAGCUGGCCAACCUGUAAAUGCUAAGCCCACACCAAGAACUCCUGAUCACGAAAUACAAGGAUCAAAAGAAGCUUUGAUUCAAGAUUUGGAAAGAAAGCUGAAAUGCAAGGACACCCUUCUUCAUAAUGGAAAUCAAGUGGGCAAGAUGUCUAUUUUGUACAAAAGGCCAAUUAAACUAUAAAAUCUAAUUUUAAUAAGGAAGUUCUAUCUCACACAUCUAGGUCCAUAUAUCAACAAGGAAUAAGAUUAUCUAAAAAGAAGGAAUAUUUGGGCCCUAUUCCAUUUCUCUCUGCAUGAAAUCACCUCUUGGUUUACAGUAGUAAAAUA